rnacentral:rRNA from 1 species
GAUGAACGCUAGCGGCAGGCCUAACACAUGCAAGUCGAGGGGUAGCAGGAUUAAGCUUGCUUAAUUGCUGACGACCGGCGCACGGGUGCGUAACGCGUAUGCAACCUACCUUAUACUGGGGUAUAGCCCGGAGAAAUUCGGAUUAAUCCCCCAUAGUACUAAUGAAUCGCAUGGUUUAUUAGUUAAAGCAUUGCGGUAUAAGAUGGGCAUGCGUACUAUUAGCUAGAUGGUGAGGUAACGGCUCACCAUGGCUACGAUAGGUAGGGGGCCUGAGAGGCUGGUCCCCCACACUGGUACUGAGACACGGACCAGACUCCUACGGGAGUCAGCAGUGAUGAAUAUUGGUCAAUGGGCGCAAGCCUGAACCAGCCAUGCCGCGUGCAGGAAGAAUGCCCUAUGGGUUGUAAACUGCUUUUAUUUGGGAAUAAACCUCUUUACGUGUAGAGAGCUGAAGGUACCAAAUGAAUAAGCACCGGCUAACUCCGUGCCAGCCGCCGCCGUAA